CCUACGGGAGGCAGCAGUAGGGAAUCUUCCACAAUGGACGCAAGUCUGAUGGAGCAACGCCGCGUGAGUGAAGAAGGCUUUCGGAUCGUAAAACUCUGUUGUUGGAGAAGAAUGGUCGGCAGAGUAACUGUUGUCGGCGUGACGGUAUCCAACCAGAAAGCCACGGCUAACUACGUGCCAGCAGCCGCGGUAAU
rnacentral:rRNA from 1 species